CCGCGCCUCUCUCUCCACACCUCCCUGCAAGCAGAGGGAGCCGGCUCCAGCCUUGGCCGGCCCAGAGAGGGGCUCUCACGGUGCAGCGGCGGGCUGAAGGGCUCCUCAAGCGUGGCCAGAGCGGACGCCGAGGCCGAGGAGGCGCUGAGAGCCAGCGAGGGCCGCCGGCACGUUGUCACCUCACAGCGCCACUGUACUCCAGCCCAGAGACAAGAGUCUCGCUCUGUUGCCCAGGCUGGAGUGCAGUGGUGCCAUCAUACCUCGAUGAAGCCUUGAACUCUUGGGUUCAUCAAGCAAUCCUUCUGUCUUAGCCUCCUGAGUUGCUGGGACUACAGGUCUUUGGAUAUGAAGUCAACUCAUUGCCAGUCAGAAAAUCUUUGAAUCUGCCUAUGACCUAAAAGCUCCUGCUUCCAGUUGUCCUGACUUUCUG